AGAAACAUGGUCAACUGGAGAAGGAGAAAACGGCACCUGCUGAGAGCAGUGUGGAUCACUUUGUGGGGAACACGCUCCAUGCAAUCUGUGACUCCCACUGACCGACCUCCACCUGCACUGAUCAACCGUGAACCUGUUUCUUUUCGGGACGAAAAGACUAAGGUGGGGGUAAUGUUGUAACCCUGCCUUGCACCAGUGCUUGAGGUGCGCACUAGCGCACUAGUGAACGUAAACAGGAAAACACUAGGAUAGAGAGAAUAACAGUGCAUCAGGGAUUGUGAGGAGUCUGAAUGUUUGAAAAACUAAGAAGCCAGCUUUUGGUGCUGCCUGAAGGUUGUAGAAGGGACCUGGAGCGAAGCGGGGAAGGCUGUCGUUGGUCCACAUUCGGGUUGCUGUCUAAAGGACUGAGAGGCUAUCCGAUCUUGGAAGAGACAUGCAAAGAAUGCUUGCCAUCAUUUCACUAUUUGCAUCUUCCCCUGUUCUUCUUCUCAAUGUUAUUAAAUUUCAAAACGAACGAGAAUGAAAAGGAAAUAACUGAUUGGCUUGCACCAGACGGAAGGUACUUUGAAAUCCAAUGCGCGGAAAGAAAGUUUUUAAAAGACAAUAAUUGUGAGUAUUAUGACGCUCCUUGGUGCGUCCAAUAUACGUCGGAACUUGGUUUUCAAUUACAAAAUGAAAGUGGCUUGUCUACCCUGACG